AAAAGCACACUAUGCAAUAUCCUAGCUUAGCAACCAUUUCUAACAGAACACAACUCAUCAAUUCACGUCUGACAUCCCGUCUACUUAUUUCAUUUCUUAGCAUAAAUAUAAAGUGAAUUCUUUACCUUGGGAGUAUCGAUCACAGAAUGCAAGGAUUUCAGACAGGUAUUUGGAGCUGCAGGUAAAAGUUAGUUCCUAGUUUCUCUCUCUCUAAAUUUCUCUCUUGCGUCAAAGUCUGCUUCCAUUGCAGGAUCAGUGACCAAGAUUGGACAGGCUUCCAUGAAUCAAAACUUAAUGGUGGUUGCCACCAGGUUCUGUUCACUUCUUUUUGACCUAUAUCCAAGAGUUCUUUGCGAAGGCGAGCCUUGAAGAUUGCCGCCUCCAAGUCCCGUUUCGGACUCUUUUAUUUGAGUCUUUAUGAAUCAAGCCUUAAUGGUUUUAGCCACCAAGUCCCAA
rnacentral:lncRNA from 1 species